rnacentral:rRNA from 1 species
UACGGAGGAUGCAAGCGUUAUCCGGAAUGAUUGGGCGUAAAGCGUCCGCAGGUGGCUGUGUAAGUCUGCUGUCAAAGAGCAAAGCUCAACUUUGUAAAGGCAGUGGAAACUACACGGCUAGAGUGCGUUCGGGGCAGAGGGAAUUCCUGGUGUAGCGGUGAAAUGCGUAGAUAUCUGGAGGAACACCGGUGGCGAAGGCGGCAUCCUGGACCGGUAUUGACGCUGAGGCGCGAAAGCUAGGGGAGCAAACGGGG